rnacentral:rRNA from 1 species
GACAGAGGGUGCAAACGUUGUUCGGAAUUACUGGGCGUAAAGCGCGUGUAGGCGGCUAUAUAAGUCGGACGUGAAAUCCCACGGCUCAACCGUGGAAGAGCGCUCGAAACUGUGUGGCUUGAGUCCUGGAGAGGAAAGCGGAAUACUUGGUGUAGAGGUGAAAUUCGUAGAUAUCAGGUAGAACACCAGUGGCGAAGGCGGCUUUCUGGACAGUGACUGACGCUGAGACGCGAAAGCGUGGGGAGCAAACAGG